GAUCUAUCAUAAGAGGUCAGGUUGUCC
rnacentral:piRNA from 1 species